rnacentral:RNase_P_RNA from 1 species
UGAGUAAACUAAAUAGUCGCAGAUACAAUUCGAAAGAAUGUAUAUGAGGAAAGUCCGGGCAUCACAGGGCAGGGUGCCGGGUAACUCCCGGUGGAGGCAACUCUAAGGAAAGUGCAACAGAAAAGAACCGCCGUAAUUACGGUAAGGAUGAAAAGGUGAGGUAAGAGCUCACCGCUGAUUGGGUAAUCAAUCUGGCGUGUAAACCCCACUCGAUGCAACACCGCAAAAAGAGAAUUAUAUUUGCCCGAUAUCUCUAAAGGUGGCUUGAGUUAUACAGAGAUGUAUAACCUAGAUAGAUGACUAUUUUAAACGACAGAACCCGGCUUAUUGUUUGCUCAUUUA